rnacentral:rRNA from 1 species
UACGGGGGGGGUAAGCGUUGUUCGGAAUUACUGGGCGUAAAGGGCUCGUAGGCGGCCAACUAAGUCAGACGUGAAAUCCCUCAGCUUAACUGGGGAACUGCGUCUGAUACUGGAUGGCUUGGAUUUGGGAGAGGAAUGCGGAAUUCCAGGUGUAGCGGUGAAAUGCGUAGAUAUCGUAAGGAAGACCAGUGGCGAAGGCGGGUCUCUGGACAGUUCCUGACGCUGAGGCACGAAGGCCAGGGGAGCAAACGGG